rnacentral:rRNA from 1 species
AUCCUUACGGGGGGCAGCAGUGGGGAAUAUUGCACAAUGGGCGAAAGCCUGAUGCAGCAACGCCGCGUGAAGGAAGAAGGUCUUCGGAUCGUAAACUUCUGUCCUUGGGGAAGAUAAUGACGGUACCCUUGGAGGAAGCCCCGGCUAACUACGUGCCAGCAGCCGCGGUAAUACGUAGGGGGCAAGCGUUAUCCGGAAUUAUUGGGUUUAAAGGGUGCGUAGGCGGAUUUUUAAGUCAGCGGUAAAAUGUCCGGGCUCAACCCGGGCCGGCCGUUGAAACUGGGGAUCUUGAGUGGGCGAGAAGU